GAUGAACGCUAGCGGCAGGCCUAACACAUGCAAGUCGAGGGGUAGAAGGAGCUUGCUCCUUUGAGACCGGCGCACGGGUGCGUAACGCGUAUGCAAUCUACCUUGUACAGGGGAAUAGCCCAGAGAAAUUUGGAUUAAUGCCCCAUAGUAUAUAACCUUCGCAUGUUGGUUAUAUUAAAGUUCCAACGGUACAAGAUGAGCAUGCGUCCCAUUAGUUAGUUGGUAAGGUAACGGCUUACCAAGACGAUGAUGGGUAGGGGUCCUGAGAGGGAGAUCCCCCACACUGGUACUGAGACACGGACCAGACUCCUACGGGAGGCAGCAGUGAGGAAUAUUGGUCAAUGGUCGCAAGACUGAACCAGCCAUGCCGCGUGCAGGAAGACGGUCCUAUGGAUUGUAAACUGCUUUUAGACAGGAAGAAACCCUCCCACGUGUGGGAGCUUGACGGUACUGUAGGAAUAAGAAUCGGCUAACUCCGUG
rnacentral:rRNA from 1 species